rnacentral:rRNA from 1 species
UACAGAGGGGGCAAGCGUUGUUCGGAAUUACUGGGCGUAAAGGGCGCGUAGGCGGCCUUCUAAGUCGAACGUGAAAUCCCCGGGCUCAACCCGGGAACUGCGUCCGAUACUGGAAGGCUUGAAUCCGGGAGAGGGAUGCGGAAUUCCAGGUGUAGCGGUGAAAUGCGUAGAUAUCAGGAGGAACACCGAUGGCGAAGGCAGGUCUCUGGGCCACUACUGACGCUGAGAAGCGAAAGCAUGGGGAGCGAACAGG